rnacentral:rRNA from 1 species
GUCGAGGGGUAUAGUAGCAUACUAGAGACCGGCGCACGGGUGCGUAACGCGUAUGCAAUCUACCUUUCACAGAGGGAUAGCCCAGAGAAAUUUGGAUUAAUACCUCAUAGUAUUAUGAAGUGGCAUCACUUUAUAAUUAAAGUCACAACGGUGAAAGAUGAGCAUGCGUCCCAUUAGCUAGUUGGUAAGGUAACGGCUUACCAAGGCUACGAUGGGUAGGGGUCCUGAGAGGGAGAUCCCCCACACUGGUACUGAGACACGGACCAGACUCCUACGGGAGGCAGCAGUGAGGAAUAUUGGUCAAUGGGCGCAAGCCUGAACCAGCCAUGCCGCGUGCAGGAUGACGGUCCUAUGGAUUGUAAACUGCUUUUGUACGGGAAGAAACACCUCUACGUGUAGAGACUUGACGGUACCGUAAGAAUAAGGAUCGGCUAACUCCGUGCCAGCAGCCGCGGUAAUACGGAGGAUCCAAGCGUUAUCCGGAA